rnacentral:sRNA from 1 species
AUGACAAGAAGGACCCAGCCUCCCAGCAGCCACACCCUGUGUGUCUCUCUGUCCUGCCAGCACCGAGGGCUCAUCCCUCUGCAGAGCCCGGGGUCACCGGGAGGAGACGCCAUGACCCCCGCCCUCACAGCCCUGCUCUGCCUUGGUGAGAUUUCAAGAUGGGGAGGGGGAGAUCCGAGUCUUGGAGGGACCCCACCCCACACACAAGCCCUGGUCCAUCAGGAGACCUCAAAAGCUCAGGAGGCAUCAGGGUGGGGACUUGCUCAGGCUUCAGGGCAAAUGCUUCACAGGGAACUCUCUUCCAGGGCUGAGUCUGGGCCCCAGGACCCACGUGCAGGCAGGGCCCCUCCCCACACCCACCCUCUGGGCUGAGCCAGGAUCUGUGAUCAUCCGGGGGAGCCCCGUGACCAUCUGGUGUCAGGGGAACCUGGAGGCCCAGGAGUACUGUCUGUAUAAAGAGGGAAGCACAGAGCCCUGGGACAAAACGAAUCCGCUGGAGACCAGGAACAAGGCCAGAUUCUCCAUCCCAUCCAUGACACAGCACCAUGCAGGGAGAUACCGCUGUUACUAUCGCAGCCCUGCAGGCUGGUCAGAGCCCAGUGACCCCCUGGAGCUGGUGGUGACAGGAUUCUACAGCAAACCCACCCUCUCAGCCCUGCCCAGCCCUGUGGUGGCCUCAGGGGGGAACGUGACCCUCCGAUGUGGCUCACAGAAGGGAUAUGACCAUUUUGUUCUGAUGAAGGAAGGAGAACACCAGCUCCCCCGGACCCUGGACUCAC